AAACAACCAACAGCAUAUACAGCUAUCGGUAACAUCUUAUAGUUAUGGUCUAUUCCAAGAGCAACAGUUGCUGCCUGAUCUGUUGCUAUUCUAGCAUUUUCUGUAACGUAGAAGGGCAGUCUUCAGUAAGAAGCACUGACAUAAGAAGCCAGCAAGCUUGGAAAGAUUUUUGGAAAAGAUUGUCAUAAAUCCGGAAGAGUGACGGUCAUCGCAUCGACCUUGAGAAUAUUUCAAAA